rnacentral:misc_RNA from 1 species
UUUAACAUGGAAACAUGAAAAACAGGGUGGAUUGAAGAAGAUGAAGGCAACUGAAGCUUGUAGGCAACUGACCCAUACUUAGCAAUAAUUUGAUAAGGACCAUAGUACUUAGGAGAAAGCUUUAAGGACUGUCUAAUAGCUACUGAUGCCUGCCUGUAAGGCUGAAGCUUCAGAUAAACAUAAUCCCCAACUGAAAAGUCUCGUUCUGACCUCUGCUUAUCAGCUUGUUGCUUCAUUCUAUUUUGGGCUAACACUAAAUUUUCUUUCAACUUCCCACUGCUCCAACAGUAGGUAACUCCAUAGGCACUACUGGAAGAAAUGGUGGAGACUAGCCAUAAAGCGCUUCAAAAGGUGACAUCCUAAUAGCACUGUGAGAGGAAGAAUUGUACCACCAUUCUGCAAGAGGAAGCCAAGUACUCCAUGUACUGGGUUUGAAAUGAGCCAUACACCUUAGGGAACCCUCCAAGCACUGAUUAAGUCUCUCAGUCUGACCAUCAGACUGGGGAUGAUAAGCAGUACUAAAAGCCAAUGUAGUGCCCAAACAUUUGAACAACUCCUUCCAAAACAAGCUAGUAAAAAAUUUUGUCCCUAUCUGAGACAAUAGAUUGUGGUACCCCAUGCAGUUUGAAAACAUUAUCUAAGAAUAAUUUGGCCACAACAGAAGCAGUACAGGGAUGAGUCAAUGGUAUGAAAUGCCCAUACUUAGUGAAUCUACAAACCACCACUAGUAUGGUAUCUUUACCCUUGGACUUGGGUAAAUGAUCAAUAAAAUCCAUUGAGAUGUGUUGCUAAGCUUGAGUUGGAAUAGAUAGUGGCUGCAACAUGCCAGGGGCUGCACAAUGUUCACUUUUGCACCUAGCACAAGUAUCGCAUUUUUUUAUCCACUCCAAUAUAUCCUUAAGCAUACUAGGCCAAAAGAAAUGCUUCUUCAACCUUAAGUAAGUCACAUUAACUCUAGAAUGAUCUCCCAGGGGACUGUCAUGGUAUAAAGCAAUUAAUUGCUGCCUUAAUUCAGUGGAGCAGCCUGCAUAUAGCCUGUCAUGAAAGUAGAGAACUCCUUUCUUCUGCUGAAAUCCUGAAUGAGCUGUACUAUCCAAGGAUAAUUGUUGCACCAAGUUAGUUGCUUUAGAGUCUUUGUCAUAAGUUUGAAGUAAAGUAGUCAUCCAAGUAGGCAAAAUUGUAGACUGAAAGGCAUGGCAACUAGAGUCAGCCCUAACAGGUCUUCUAGAAAGGGCGUCUGCCACCUUAUUUUCAACACCUCUUCUAUAAAGGAUCUUAUAAUUGAGCCCCAAAAGUUUAGAAAUGCCCCUUUGCUGCAAAUUAGUAUGAAGCCUUUCCUCAAGCAAAUAUUUUAUACUUUCAUGAUCAGUU